rnacentral:miRNA from 1 species
AGCUUCUUCCUCAGCUCGCUUU